rnacentral:rRNA from 1 species
CGCAUCUGUGCAUGCAGCAUAUCAAUAAGCGGAGGAAAAGAAACUAACAAGGAUUCCCCUAGUAACGGCGAGUGAAGCGGGAAGAGCUCAAAUUUGAAAUCUUAAAGGGUUUCCCUUUACGAAUUGUAGUUUAAAGAAGUGUUUUCUGUUGAGGUUUUGGUAAAAGUUCUUUGGAAUAGGACAUCAUAGAGGGUGAGAAUCCCGUAUUUGACCAUUAUUUUCAGCUGUGUGAUACACUUUCAAAGAGUCGGAUUGUUUGGGAAUGCAGUCCAAAAUGGGUGGUAAAUUUCAUCUAAAGCUAAAUAUUGGCGAGAGACCGAUAGCGAACAAGUACCGUGAGGGAAAGAUGAAAAGAACUUUGAAAAGAGAGUUAAACAGUACGUGAAAUUGUCAAAAGGGAAGCGUUUGACACCAGUGUUGUUUUUCUGAAAAUCAAUUAAAGGAACUGUUUAUGCUAAGUUGUUUAGACUUUAUCAGCUAACUGUUUAGUUUUGAGCUUUUCUUUAAUGCACUUUUCAGUUAACAAGUCAACAUCAAUUUCCUUUGCUGUAAAAAAGCUUGAGGAAGGUGGCUUGAGAUUCGUCUUAAGUGUUUAUAGCCUCUUGCCUAUGCAGUCGGAGAGACUGAGGUCUGCAGCGUAGAUCCUUCGGGGCUAAAUGCAUUUGUGCUAAGUUAUAGCAUUUUAUAGACAACCUUGUUGACUAUGAUUAGUCUUGUAGCUUACUCGCUUAUGCUAUAUUACCUACGCUUAGGAUGUUGAUCUCUCACAGUCGAGC